CAAUGAAAUGUAAGUCAGUUCGAAAUAUGAAAACUUUCAUAAAAUAGUUACUUUAGUUGUUUCUUUAUUUUACAAAAUUGGACUUGAUGAAACCUAGAAGCUUUUACAAAGUAUAUCGACGAAUUUUAUUGAUGAGAAGCAUUUGGUUUUGAAAUUUAAGUUGAUUUAUUAUUGCAAUUCAAUGGAGACAAAUUGCAGCAAAUUGCCAAGUAUGCUGCAUAAAUAUACAUAUAAAUAAUUGUUAAAAAUUUACGCUGUACAGUCCAUUUAUUUUGAGUAAUUC